rnacentral:rRNA from 1 species
UACGUAGGGUGCGAGCGUUGCCCGGAUUUAUUGGGCGUAAAGGGCGCGCAGGCGGCUACGCACGUCCGUUGUGAAAUCGCUCGGCUCAACUGGGCGGGGUCAGCGGAUACGGCGUAGCUGGAGCAAGCUAGGGGGCAAUGGAAUUCCCGGUGUAGUGGUGGAAUGCGUAGAUAUCGGGAGGAACACCAGUGGCGAAGGCGGUUGCCUGGAGCUUUGCUGACGCUGAGGGACGAAAGCUAGGGGAGCGAAUGGG